CUCGUUUCUUGCACUUUCCCUCACUUUCCAUCUUCUUAACUCGUGAAAUUUUCUCGUGCUUAUUCACUCUCUCAUUCGCGACCUUUUAUCCUGAUUUUCUGAACUCUCUCUAUCUCUUGUUGACACCGACAUUCUUCUAAAGUUUUUUUUCCCCUCUGUGCCUCACUCUUUUCCUUGCGUUUUCUUCUCGACAUGUUUUCUUACGUUCGAAGAACUUUCCUCUCACAAGCUCCUAUUUUCUGGUGUUAUAUCUCGCAUUUUAUGAGAUCGCGAACCACUUGCUGCUUUUCAUCUUCUUCAACGCUUUUUUUCCCUGAUUUAGUUUCCUUUUCUUUGUUUUUUAAUAGGAUUUAGUUUCCUUUUCUUGAUACACUUUUUUUUUACCUGACGCUCUAUUUUGCUUUCCCGUAUUUUGCAGAAGGGUAAUACCCGUCUCGAUGCAGCCCUCGACGCUAUGCGUCCAUAUGGAUUUUCCGAGAAACUGGUUCAAUAAACGGUCGGAGAGCUUCUAAAUGUUUAUGGUGGGGAUGAUGGAUGGGUCUUUAUUGAAGAAGUUUCUUACAUUCUUCUCGUUGAAACCAUUCUUGAAAAGCUAAAAGCUCAUGCACAAGAGGGUGCUGGUUCUUCUCAAGGUAAGGUCGGAGUUGCAGUUGAUACUGAAGCACCAGCUGUUUGGCCCGCAAAUGGAGUUACUUGCCCCAAUUCAGAGGCUGUGGAGGCUGUAUCGCAAACUAACCAGGCUACCUGGCAGACUAAUGAGACUUUAGAUACUGCAUCAGUGACACAUGAAUCUCAGGGUAUGCAUUGUCUCCCACCACCCGUUACGAUCCAAUCCAAACUACCCAUGGAUGGUCUUCCUACGCCAAGUCGUCGACCUUACCAUGGGUGGAUCAGUAAUGACGAUGAUGAGGAUGUAGUGCACCUCAAACCAGCUCCAUUACAGCAAAGUUUAGCAAAGAUGCUUACACCAGUUCCAGCGCAGGAAAGUUUAGUAAAGUUUCUUGAUACCCUAGGCAGGUGGAGAACGUGUAAGACAAGGUGGGAUGUGAGGCCUCAAGAUGUGUAAUCCUCUUUAAUGUUCCAUGCUAACCUAUGCCUCAAAGGGAUUUUUUUUGGUAAAAACCUGUGGUCAAGGGGUUUAUGGAAAGGAAGUGAGUUUUGUGGGCUUAGGUAAAUUAUUUUAGGGCAAAUACCAAGUAUAGGAAUUUUAAGUUUCUAAAGGGUUUUUGGCUUUCAAUCCAAAAUGUCAUCGACAAAACAGCUUACCUUGUUUUUUUGGUAACAAUUAAGAUUUUGUUUUUAGUAUUAUUCUAUUUUUGAGCCAGUGUAUGGAAGAUAUCAUUCAUAUUAUUUAGAUGGUAAGAUUUAAUUUGUAAGAUUUAUUUUUUAAGUCAAA